rnacentral:rRNA from 1 species
AUGAACGCUGGCGGCGUGCCUAAUACAUGCAAGUCGAGCGAACGGACGAGAAGCUUGCUUCUCUGAUGUUAGCGGCGGACGGGUGAGUAACACGUGGAUAACCCACCUAUAAGACUGGGAUAACUUCGGGAAACCGUAGCUAAUACCGGAUAAUAUUUUGAACCGCAUGGUUCAAAAGUGAAAGACGGUCUUGCUGUCACUUAUAGAUGGAUCCGCGCUGCAUUAGCUAGUUGGUAAGGUAACGGCUUACCAAGGCAACGAUGCAUAGCCGACCUGAGAGGGUGAUCGGCCACACUGGAACUGAGACACGGUCCAGACUCCUACGGGAGGCAGCAGUAGGGAAUCUUCCGCAUUGGGCGAAAGCCUGACGGAGCAACGCCGCGUGAGUGAUGAAGGUCUUCGGAUCGUAAAACUCUGUUAUUAGGGAAGAACAUAUGUGUAAGUAACUGUGCACAUCUUGACGGUACCUAAUCAGAAAGCCACGGCUAACUACGUG